GCUCAGGACGAACGCUGGCGGCGUGCUUAACACAUGCAAGUCGAACGAUGAAGCCGCUUCGGUGGUGGAUUAGUGGCGAACGGGUGAGUAACACGUGGGCAAUCUGCCCUUCACUCUGGGACAAGCCCUGGAAACGGGGUCUAAUACCGGAUAAUACUCUGUUCCGCAUGGAACGGGGUUGAAAGCUCCGGCGGUGAAGGAUGAGCCCGCGGCCUAUCAGCUUGUUGGUGGGGUAAUGGCCUACCAAGGCGACGACGGGUAGCCGGCCUGAGAGGGCGACCGGCCACACUGGGACUGAGACACGGCCCAGACUCCUACGGGAGGCAGCAGUGGGGAAUAUUGCACAAUGGGCGAAAGCCUGAUGCAGCGACGCCGCGUGAGGGAUGACGGCCUUCGGGUUGUAAACCUCUUUCAGCAGGGAAGAAGCGCAAGUGACGGUACCUGCAGAAGAAGCGCCGGCUAACUACGUGCCAGCAGCCGCGGUAAUACGUAGGGCGCAAGCGUUGUCCGGAAUUAUUGGGCGUAAAGAGCUCGUAGGCGGCUUGUCACGUCGGAUGUGAAAGCCCGGGGCUUAACCCCGGGUCUGCAUUCGAUACGGGCUAGCUAGAGUGUGGUAGGGGAGAUCGGAAUUCCUGGUGUAGCGGUGAAAUGCGCAGAUAUCAGGAGGAACACCGGUGGCGAAGGCGGAUCUCUGGGCCAUUACUGACGCUGAGGAGCGAAAGCGUGGGGAGCGAACAGGAUUAGAUACCCUGGUAGUCCACGCCGUAAACGUUGGGAACUA
rnacentral:rRNA from 1 species